rnacentral:rRNA from 1 species
CUGGCGGCGUGCUUAACACAUGCAAGUCGUGCGCGAAGGCGGCUUCGGCUGCCGGAGAGCGGCGAACGGGUGAGUAACACGUGGGUAAUCUGCCUGGGAGUGGGGGAUAACCUGGGGAAACCCGGGCUAACACCGCAUACGAUGCUGGGUUUGCGGACCUGGUCUGAAAGCUGGCCUCUGUUUACAAGCUAGCGCUCCCAGAGGAGCCCGCGGCUGAUUAGCUAGUUGGUGGGGUAAUGGCCUACCAAGGCGACGAUCAGUAGCCGGCCUGAGAGGGUGAUCGGCCACACUGGAACUGAGACACGGUCCAGACUCCUACGGGAGGCAGCAGUGGGGAAUAUUGGACAAUGGGCGCAAGCCUGAUCCAGCAACGCCGCGUGGAGGACGAAGGUCUUCGGAUCGUAAACUCCUGUCAGACGGGACGAAGGCAAGCGGGUGAACAAUCCGUUUGCUUGACGGUACUGUCAAAGGAAGCCCCGGCUAACUCCUUGCCAGCAGCCGCGGUAAUACGGAAGGGGGCGAACGUUAUUCCGAAUUAUUGGG